CCAACACUCCCUUUCCCUCACCACUCUAGUUCUGCUCUCACAGCCAUGUUGGGAGGUCUCACAGGAGGUCUCACGGGCAUCAUCCCUGGGAACCACGGGAUGGAGGUUGAAGGGACGGUGAUCCUAAUGAGGAAGGAGGUCAUGGAGUUCAACGAUCUCAGUGUAAAUUCCAUCAUCGGUGAUAUCACCCAGUUCCUCGGCACCAGCGUCUCCCUCCAGCUUGUCAGCGCCACCGUCGGCGACCCAAACAAUAAUAACAAGGGGAAAGUUGGGGGAGCCUCGUAUCUGCAAGAGUAUUUCUCAGUGUUGCAUUUGCUGUCAGCUGGGGAGUCCAAGUUUAAGGUGAAGUUCAAGUGGGAUGCGAGCUAUGGGGUCCCUGGCGCCGUUAUUGUCAAGAGCCUUACAGCGACACACUUCCUCCUCAAGACUGUCACCAUUGAGGAUUUCCCCGGACACGGUCGUAUCCACUUUGUCUGCAACUCCUGGGUCUACCCUGCCUUCAACUAUAGCUAUGACCGCAUCUUCUUCUCCAACAUUACUUACCUUCCUAAAGACACACCUGGGCCUCUGAAGGCUUACAGAGAGGAGGAGCUCAAACACCUCAGAGGAGAUGAUGUCACCUGGCAGCUGAUGGAGUGGGAUCGGGUCUACAAUUACGCAACAUACAACGAUCUGGGCACACCUGAACUACCGGGAUUAUCCCGGCCGGUGUUAGGAGGAAAUGCAGACUUUCCUUACCCACGCCGAGGACGAACCAACAGGCCUGCCUCACUGAUUGAUCCUCACUCGGAAACAAGACCGUUGCUGACGGAGAACUUCUACGUCCCCCGUGAUGAGCGAUUCGGGCACAUCAAGCAGUCAGACUUCCAGGAGUACACAAUCAAGGCCGUGAUCAAGAUGUUGCUCCCGCUUCUGGAUGCCUUGUUCAACGGAACAAUUAACGAGUUUGAUUCUUUUGAAAACGUGAUGAAGCUUUACGUGGGAGGGGUGCCGCUCCCAAACAUCCCUAUCGCUGACGAGAUCCAAGAUAGGAUCCCGUUCGACCUGCUCAGUAGCAUUGUACAGGUGAACCGUGCUGGCGAGCGCAUUCUCAGGCUCUCCAUGCCUGCUGUUAUUAAAGUUGAUAGAACGGCAUGGAGAACCGACGAGGAAUUCGCCAGAGAGACAUUAGCAGGUGUAAACCCCGUUAUCAUCAGCCGCCUCCAGGAGUUUCCUCCAGCCAGCAAGCUUGAUCCCGCCCAGUAUGGAGACCAGACAAGCACCAUCACUGAAUCUCAGAUCAAGGACAACCUGGACGGACUGACAGUAGACCAAGCCCUGAAAGACAACAGGCUCUACAUCCUAGAUCACCAUGAUAGCAUGUUGCCCUACCUGAACCGCAUCAAUAGCACCUUCAACAAGGUGUACGCCACCAGAGCCCUGUUCUUCCUGAGAGAUGACAGCACUCUGAAACCACUUGCCAUCGAGCUCAGCCUCACACACCCACAAGGCGAGAAAUACGGUGUGGUCAGUAGGGUUAUAUUGCCGGCCGAAACAGGGGUCGACGAAGCUGUCUGGCAACUGGCCAAGGCCUAUGUUGCCGUGAACGAUUCUGGUGUUCAUCAGCUCGUCAGUCACUGGCUCAACACGCACGCAUGCAUGGAGCCAUUUGUGAUCGCCACGAACCGACACCUGAGCGCGGUUCACCCAAUCUAUAAGCUUUUGUUCCCCCACUACAAAGACACGAUGAACAUCAACGCCCUCGCCCGCCAGUCGCUCGUCAAUGCCAGGGGCAUCAUCGAGACGACGUUCUCACCGGCGAAGUAUGCAAUGGAGCUGUCUGCUGCUGUCUACAAGAACUGGAACUUCGCCGAGCAAAGUCUCCCGGCCGAUCUCCUUAAGAGAGGAGUGGCGGUGGACGAUCCGAGCAGCCCGAACAAGAUCCGGCUUCUGAUCAAAGACUACCCUUACGCUGUGGACGGUCUCGCCAUCUGGUCGGCCAUCGAGAAAUGGGUGGCUAACUACACGGCCGUCUAUUACCCUAAUGAUGCAACAGUCCAAGCAGAUGUUGAGCUGCAAGCAUGGUGGAAGGAAGUCCGUGAAGUUGGCCAUGGAGACCACAAAGAUAAAGCCUGGUGGCCCCAGAUGCAGACAGUGUCCGAGCUUGCUCACAGCUGCACCACCAUCAUCUGGGUGGCCUCUGCCCUCCAUGCUGCCGUCAACUUUGGCCAGUUCCCCUAUGCCGGCUACAACCCCAACCGCCCCACACUGAGCCGCCGCUUCCUCCCAGAGAUAGGCUCCAAGGAGUACGAGGAGCUGAAAACCAAUCCUGACAAGGUGUUUCUGAGGACCAUCACAGCCCAGAUGCAGACUGUGCUCGCACUGUCCAUUAUUGAGAUCCUGUCGACACACGCAUCGGAUGAGAUUUACCUCGGCCAGCGGCCGGCAGAGGAGUGGACAACUGACAAGAAGGCUCUGGAAGCAUUAAAGAAUUUUGCUGAUGAGCUGGCUGUGAUUGAGGCCAAGAUUAAGGAAAGGAAUGCAAAUUCAAGUUUGAAGAACAGGAAUGGGCCGGUGAAGAUGCCAUACACGCUGUUGUUACCGACCAGCACCGAGGGGCUCACCAUGAGGGGGAUCCCUAACAGCAUCUCCAUCUGAGAAUUAGAUUUGAAACGAAGAUGUGGUAAAAUUUAGCUCCUUUUGUAUGUUUGCUGGCUAAAUAAUAGUCUCUGUUGAGAUCGAUUUGCAUUACUAUCUAAAUAAUACUCAUUUGAGAUGGAUUUGCA
rnacentral:misc_RNA from 1 species